GCCCCCACUCCCACUCCCUCCAGCCUCAGCACCGCCAAGAACCAGCCCAGCCCCUCGCCGGGCACCAGUAGCAAACAGAAGUCAUCGGCUGAUGUUGGAAGCUGCAGCUGCGCGGCUCGUGGGAGGGUGGGGGAGCCCAGCCCAUCUGAAUGCAGCAGCGGCUCGUCCUGCGGCCAAGGCGAGGCAGCCAGGAAGAGGAGGGGAGCGCGCUAUGGCUUUGGUGGGAAUUCCGGGGAGCUCCUUCUCUGCCCGGCUGGGGCAGCGGCUCGGAGGAGGAGGAGGCUGCGGUGUGUUGUUUGGUGGAGUUUGCAGCCGGAGACACGCUUGACUAGCUACUAGCAGCAGCAGCACAUGGCAGGAGCGAGAGCAGCGUUGGGAGUCCUUGCAGCAAACGGGUGGGCUUUAUCGUGCAUCCUCCAGCCCAGUGUGCUAGGUGGGAGCCUCACAGCAGGGGCAACAAGACAGAGCACAUUCCAUCCAGGACCCUUCCCCUGUGCGCCCCCUUUAAGAUACCUACAAAGCGCUGGCACCGGACAAAUCCAAGCCAGAGCCAGGCGGUGAGGUUCAGCUGGCUCUUGGGUAGCCCCGUGGGAGGAGGAGGAGACAAUCCUUUGACAUCCAGCCAAAGAUCGGUGGGCCCCACUCAACUUCAGGAAGGAGAGGCUGGAUCUUGAGCUAAAAUCACAAUAUUUGUGUUAGACUCUCCCACAGAGGGGUUGAAAACGAUCGGAGUCCCUCCAUGCACGAGGUUAACCCUGAGUUGUGCCCUUUCUUUGACAGUGGAGACCAACCCUUUGUUGGCACGGAACAAAGAAAUGGGGGUGAAUAGGGAAGGGGACCAGCUGGCUUCCUGAAGCCUUUAAACUUCCAGGGCGUGGGUGUCUCAGCAAUCUAGAUCUGCAUGGCGGAUUUCAAUCAUGAGAGGCCUGGCUCUGCCAGUGGCUGUAUCAGAACCCCCACUCCCUCCAUCAGGGGUACAGGAACAAUCCGUAUAGUGGGGGUACUGAGAGCUAUUGAACCAAACUGUAAACCCUGAUGGUUGAACGCUCUUCAAGCCAGAGGGUGUGGCAGCAUCCCUAGUUCCUGCAAGCCUAGUUCCUGCACCUAUGCCCUCCAUUGUCAGGAGAGAGGUUCCCAAUUCAAACCUGAGCCAAGCUGGAAAUUGUUCAUUUGGCCCCAUCUCUAUUGUUGAAUGAUUCCCCUCUGUGGCUGCCCUGCUGAAGCUGCCCUGGUUACUGUGCCCGGGGUUAGACCUGGGUAAGUGAUAACAUGAAAUCCCUGUUGUAGUAAACCAAAGUUUAAUGAAGAGUGGGGCGGCCAAACUUUCUCCUCCUGCAAACUGCAGUUCUGGCUAGUAACAGAACCUGAAUUUUGUUUUUUAAAAUCAAUUUCAGAAGCAUUCAUAAAUGCCCCAAUCUUUGUCCAACACUGAACAAGAAGAAAGAAAAACCAAUAGUGUGGCACCUCUUUAAGUUUCUUUUGUUUGUCUGGGGGGAAAGCCCCUAAAAUGAGGUUUAGUUUUAAGAAACUAGUUUAAAGUAGCGCCGCAAGUUUUCAAAGAGUUAGGCCAUUGACUUCCUUCCUUUUCCCUGAUCUCAAAUCCCCUGCAGUUUGUGGUGUGUUGAAUAGGAGGAGAGGAGGUUGCUGUGAGGGAAGACAUGGAGGGAAUGAUAAUGAGUCUGUUCAGUCAGACUUGAAUUUAACAUGAGUGCAGUGAUGACACCAGAAGCAGGGAAUAUUUCCUGGGAAAGUGAAUCCCGCUGCAUUCUGAAGAGGCUUUGGGAUUCCUGUUGACAGUACUUCAGCAAACUGAAUGGAAACAAAACUCAGAUUAGGGUUUACAUCUGUGCUGUACAAACGUGUUACAAUGACUUUGACCAUGAAUAAGAAACCUUUGAUGAUUCAGGUAUGUCCUUGCUUAGGCAGGCUGUUGAGAAGAAUUCGAAACCCAGUGUCCACACAUCACUAAAGGACUAAUGAUGCCAUGCAAAAGUUUUUAAAUGAACUUUUCUGCUGUUACCUUUUACUCCCGAGCGCUCAUGAAAGAUGCCAUCUUGACACCCCUGGAGAUUAAAGCCUUUUUUUUCCCCCACAGAAGUUAUAGUAUGAAUAGCAACCCAGAAAGCUUCACCCCCACACCUGUGAACUAGAAGUACCACCUUUAGCUAUCUCAGUCUCCAUAGCCCCUUUACUAUUUCACCUUUCUGUUAUGACUGCCAGCAGUUGCUGUAGUGGAUUCUGUGCUGUGGACAUCUGUCUCUGACAACUGGACCGAGAUCACCAAACUCAUUUUACAGAGGCUACUGGAAAACCAACCACUUUCAAUUGCUGCCAGCCGGCUCUGAAUUUAAAUCUGUAGCCUAGAGGUGAACAUUUCAUGUACUCCAUUACCAAACUCCUGAGACAUCUGGACCCUGAUUGUCAGUGUUAUCUUAUGAAGAGGGAUUUUCAUAUGUUCAUAUUCACGUUUUAGUAAAACUGACCUCAGGGAAGUGCCUAUAUAUUUCUGACUUACAGUAUCUUACAAAUUCUAAUUUUAUAAUACCACAUUCCUGUCUCCUGACUCUCACUGUUGUAAAUGCACUUCCCAAACAGCAUCUGCAAACUCUGUAUAAACAUUUGUCUUGCUAUCAGCCAUAUGGUUUAAGAGACUUGUGGCAAAUCAAUAAGGUUAAUUUAAAAAUACAAUCAGAUACUGAACCACAUGAUGUCAUAUAACUUCUUUGCAAUUAGUUACCAUGUUAUGAGCAGACAAAUCUUGCUCAAUUAUUUCAAUGCCUCAGAACUGUGAUUUCUACUUAGGGGACCAAAUUGAUACCUGGAUGUAACUUCACUAAAAUUAAGGGGGUUACACCACAGAUGAAUUUAGCACAAUGAAAUCACCUAUCACAGCCUAUGCAGCUGUUGCAUAGGAACUUAACAGUCAUCAUAUGCAAAUAUGAGACUUUUCACCCUUUUAGUGAUAUGGAUUUCUAAGGAAUGAGCAAACUUGUGUCUUGAAGCAUAGUGCCUCAAGCUGUUGCACCUCUUAUAAAUGCAGCAGUCUUAGUACUGCUUACUGCCUACAUUGUCUUUUAAAAAUUCCAAGUAGUGCAGGAUCCAUCUUACUACUUGCAUAAGAGUAUGUAGGAUUGGGCCCCAUAGCAGUAGCUUAACAAGUUGGUUGGGUUUAAAAUUGUAUUUUCAUUUAAGACCUAAUAGGAAGAGGUGCUGAGUGCUCUUAACUUCCAUUAGAGUCAGUGGGAGUUGACACUCAAUGCCUUACAGGGUUGGCAUUACCAUCCCAAGACAAAGGGCAACAAGGUUUGUUUUUAAAAUGUAUUAACAGGAGGAAAAAAUGCUAAGUGUCAUUUUACUAUUCCUUAACAAUAUGGCAUGAGUGAUUUAGACACUGUUGUGAUGUAACAUAUGGAAAUUUGCAGUGGUGCAGGUGAAUAAAUAUUGCUUAUUCAUA